rnacentral:rRNA from 1 species
CCUUAGUACGGCGAGUGAAGCGGCAACAGCUCAAAUUUGAAAGCUGGCCCUUUUAGGGUCCGCAUUGUAAUUUGAAGAGGAUGAUUCGGCGAGGGCUCCUGCCUUCCUCCCCUGGAACGGGGCGUCAUAGAGGGAGAGAAUCCCGUAUGCGGUACGUUGCCUUAUCCAUGUGAAUCUCCUUCGACAAUUCUAGUUGAUUGGGAAUGCAACUCUGAAUGGGAGGUCAAUUUCUUCUAAAGCUAAAUACCGGCCAGAUACCGAUCGCGCACAAUUAUAGUGAUAGAAAGAUGAAUUUCACUUUGGAAAGAGAGUUAAAAAGUACUUGAAAUUGUGGAAAGGUAAACGCUUGCAACCGGACUUGUCCGCACUUGCUCAGCCCGUCUCCUGACCGGUUUACUCUUCUGCGGCCAGGCCAUUUUCACUUCGGGAGGUCGGAUAAAGGCCUCGGGAAUGUGGCUCCUCUCGGGGAGGUUAUAGCCCGGGGUGCUGUGCGGCAAUCCUGGACUGACGAACUCGCUUCGGCUAGGAUGCUGGCGUAAUGGUUGUAAUCGGCCCGCUCUUGAAAAAACGGACCCAAAA